rnacentral:rRNA from 1 species
GACGAACGCUGGCGGCGUGCUUAACACAUGCAAGUCGAACGAAGUGGCGAACGGGUGAGUAAUACGUGAGUAACCUGCACUCCUUUUUGGGAUAAGCCUUGGAAACGGGGUCUAAUACCGAAUAAAGGGGGAUGGGCUCGCGGCCUAUCAGCUUGUUGGGGGGGUGAUGGCCUACCAAGGGGUUGAAGGGUAGCCGGCCUGAGGGGGUGAACGGCCACAUUUGGACUGAGAUACGGCCCAGACUCCUACGGGAGGCAGACGUGGGGGAUAUUGCACAAUGGGCGAAAGCCUGAUGCAGCGACGCCGCGUGGGGGAUGAAGGCUUUCGGGUUGUAAACCUCUUUUGCUCUCGAACGGGUAGGUGGAGAAGAAGCGCCGGCUAACUACGUGCCAGCAGCCGCGGUAAUAC